rnacentral:lncRNA from 1 species
UUUUUUCACAGUUGGGUUUUCAAAUGUAAGUGUACCUAACCCUUAACUUUAAUCUUUAUUUUGGCCACUACCCAGAUAAUCAAAAUCCAGGUAUGUUCUGCUUUUCUCACCCAUCUCCUAUUCUUAAAACAUCUGUAACUAAAUCUUCAGUCAAAGACAAAAUUUAGAUGAGACUGAGCCAAGGAUAGACUUCUAUGGAAUGAUCCUAGACAGUUCUAUUCAGAGUGAAAUAAAUAUUCUUAACCAGUGAAAUAAAUAUAAAAUUAAUGAUGAAACCUGACAAUCAUAAUGCUACCAAACCUAUAUUUUUCCACUUGUUCACAAAAGCAUCAUGGAAAACAAGACCAAAAAUUUUGCUUGCCAAAUGAAUUGUGUCUACAACAUGGCACUGAGUUAUUCUUCCACAUCUUGCGAAAGAAGGAAUUAGGGGAUAUAUGCUGGCUCUCUGUAAACACUGCAACUCUUUUCUCAGUACUUAGUUAUCCUAUCACAUGUUCUGAAAUACUGCCAGGACCCAAACUAAAGGUAACAGAAUUUACCUAUAUUGUUUUUUUAUUAAAGUCAAAACACAUUGCCUCAACGACGAUGAGUCUAUAAUCCAUUGGUAUCUGGAGCCCCGAGUGCCUUCUCUUCAGGUAAAAAGGUGCUUCCUUAACAACCUAGUCUUCCACCUUGAACUUCUAUCUUCUCUAUCAAAUCUCAUUUUUCCCCUGUUUAGUUACAAGCUCAUUUUCCUUAACAGAGAGGUCGAGUGCAAAAUUAGAACUAAUGAAUCAUGCAUUCUGUAUCAGCCAGCACUAUACCACCCACCACUGGAAGUAAUCACUAUUCCCAGAAAACAACUUAAAAGAACCUCUGACUUUUUCUUUUAAAGGUUUUUGAGAUUUCUUAGUACUAGCUUUUUUCCAGCCAGCACUAAACAAGCCUUCCAGCAUUUAAAAGCUCAAGCUCCAAUCAACCCAGCUUUCUGCUGUCAGGCAGACCAUCCUAAUGCAAUACAGAAGGCUGGGUGGAAUGCCAAGUUUCUGUCUAGUCCUCAGGAAUUGGUGCCCUGGCCAAUGGGCAUAUAGUCAGUUGCGACCAAUUUUUUUGCCGUUGUUUUAAAGGAGGCGGGCAAAAGAACAACCCCCUGUAAUCGGAUAACUAGAGAUACUGGCCAAGAACUGGUGCCAUCUGCUAAUCUGGGUAGAAAUGAGGUUGAGAAGAGAAGGGCUGGAGAUGGGGCAGAUGGGACUCUCCCGGUCAUUGGCUUUUAUUAUCUUGCUCCUGUUUGUGUUCGAUAAUUUGAGCAAAAGAUAGAAAGACAUGGCUCUCUGUUAGAAUAAAAAGAUGAAGGGAGAACACAGUGUUGAGUUAUUCUCUCUCCUGCCCCUUCAUUCCAAUCAAUUCCCAUACUAUCCUUCUGGCUGGAGAAGGCAAACAUUGCAUCUCUCAGAUAAGAGCCCACAAAGAUAUUUUCUAACAUUCACGAGGAUGAGAGGUCCCACUGCUAUUCUAUGUUUUGUGAAUAAAUUUAAUUUGCACAAAUGUACAACUGACAUUUUAUCUGUAAUGACUUGACUUAGUUCUUCAUAGAAGUAUUUACAAAUCCGAAUAGAGGACACUAUGAUUGCAGCACAAUCUGAGGGCCUAGUGAGUGACGUGGGAUAAGACACUCUUUUUGAUCCCACUGUUGUCUACCCUUCUAAUUCUUGCCAUUCCAUUCUUUGCAAAUUAAACUCCAGUCAUUCUAUUCUGUCUGUAGGUCCACGAUUAUACGAGACUGAUCAUGUUGCUAUGUAUAGAUAGUUUUGAUAUAAAGCUGAUUUUGAAAAAGUAAAUAUGUUCCAAUACAACCGAUAUAGUAGGAACAAUUUAAGCAUAACAUGAAUUUUGCAUUUGCUUGUGUACAACUUCCUGCAUAAGAAAUGUGGUACUUUUCUUUCUCUGACUUAUUUCACUCACCAUAACAUGCUCCAAGUCUAUCCAUGUUGCUGCAAAUGGUAAAAUUUCAUUCUUUUGAUGGCUGAGUUGUAUUCCAUUGCGUGUGUGUGUGUAUGUGCAUAUGUGUGUGUUUCACAUUUAUAUGUCACACACAUCACACAUCUUCUUUAUCCAGUCAUCUGGAUAAAGUUGAUGGACACUUAGGUUACUUCCAUAUCUAGGCAAUUAUAAAUAAUUGUGCCAUGAAUAUGGAGGUGCAGGUAUCUUUUCAAAUUAGGGUUUUUGUUUUUUGUAGAUGUCUACCCAGAAGUGGAAUUGCUGGAUCAUAUGGUAGUUUCAUUUUUAGCCUUCUGAGAAAUCACGAAAAAGAAGCCGACGUACAGAUAGAGAGAACAAAUUAGUGGUUACCAAUGGAGACCUGGAAGGAAGGCAGGGCAAUAUAAGAGAUAUAAGAGUAGGGGAUUAAGAGGUACAAAUGAUAAUGUAUAAAAUAAGCUACAAGGAUAUACUGAACAUCACAGGGAAAUGUAGCCAGUAUUUUAUAAAAACUAUAAAUGGAGUAUAACCUUUAAAAAUUAUGAAUAACUAUGUGAUAUACCUAUAACUUAUACUGUACCAUCAACUAUAUUUCAAUAAAGAAAAAGACUUACUAGGUAAAUCAGCCCAGCUUAACUGAGCUAUGUAGAAAUGCACAAAACACACACACUUACACACACCACAAGCACCUUGUAUAUCAUGGGCCAUUUCUGUCCACAUCUGGUGUCACAAAUACCCACCUGUUUCAGAUAACCUUUCUUCCACCACUUCACAACAAUUUAUAAGCUGCAACCUUCCCAUUGCCCAUUUAUAUAAGCAAACCUCUAGUCUCUUCCAAUACACAGCGCCAUAUUUAAUGUAGGGUUGUUGUUAUUCUUUAAAGUAAUCAUUUAAAAACCUACAUUAAAUGUGAAAACCUGCUGCCAGCCACAGCCACAGCCACAGCAACAUCAGAUCCCAGCUGCAUCUGCAACCUACACCACAGCUCAUGGCAAUGCCAGAUCCUUAACCCAUUGAGCAAGGCCAGGGAUUGAUCCUGAAACCUCAUGGUUCCUAGCAGCAUUCAUUUCCUUUGCACUAUGAUGGGAACUCUGGAAACACUGUUCCAGUCAACAUUCUGUCCUUUUUUGAGGUAAAUUUUGGGAAAAGUGAGUCAUUUUGCACACAGUCCUUCAGAAUUUAAUAUAUUACACACACACACACACACACACACACACACACACAAACAUACCCUUUUCAUCUGAUGAGUAAUUGUGAUGGAACUGGACCUAAUCCCUGUCUUCUGAUUCAGACACCAUCCAUUUCUGCAAACCUACCCACCAAGGUGGAAAACACAAGGAUGGAAAAAUCAUGGGACACUGCAAUUUUCUAGGUUUAGAGUUCACGAAUUGGUUAUUUUUAAGGAAGUUUCACACCCCCCUUCACAUUCCUUCAAGUGCUAAUGAUGAAAUGCAUGAAAGAUCAGAAUUUGGUGCAACCAUUAUCCUAAUGUUGGGGGCUGUGGAUCCGUGUUAUGGAGAAACUUCCGAUGGGGAGGCAGUACACAUGCCCUAUAUAGAGUUCAGGCCUCUGUGCUAAGUCUCAUACACUCCAGAGAUGUGCCACUUUCUGUCUGAGGAUCUCCCUUCCCUCAGGUAACAGCAUGGCUUGCUCCCUUACCUCCAGCCAAUAUCUCCUUAAAAGUCCCCUCAGUGAGGUCCACCCUGACUGCCCUAUUAAAACCCUCACUAUUCCCCAACUACGGUAGAAAGGUUUUUCCUCCUUACAUGCUUUCUACCUCUGAUUUUCAACUUCCAAAAUACUUAAAGGUUUAUGUACUGCAUUCCCUUCCUAUAUUAUUCAUUGGAAUGUAAGCUCCAUGAGAGCAGAGGUUUUUGUCUCCGUGGUUUGAGUACUGUCAUUCCAAUAUUUACAACAGUACCUGGCACAUGGUGCAACUUCAAUAAAUAUUUGCUGUUCAAAUGAAUACACACAAGGAUGAAAAAGCAUGGUUCUCUAAGCCAUUCUAAGAAUAAAAUUAAUAAUCUCAAACGCAUAGAGCCAGGCACCUUUAAGGAACUUGCUCAAAUACACAAAAACCAAGGAAAACUUCUGGGCUCAAACUAAAGGGCAACACUCCCAUGCACACGGUCCAUUUGGAAGGCGAUAUACAAGUACUCGCCCAGGGAGCUUUGAGAAUUACAGGAAGUAUUUUUUAAAAUGUGAGUAUGGUUCCUAUUUACAGUCUGAGGCAUAUGUGCUCCACAGUGGCAUCAUUUCUACAGAGAAAGAAUAACCAAAUCACUCCUCUGCAUUCAUAGCACAUGCAACAAAGGCACUUAAAAACAAGAAGUGAGAAGGAGAUAAAAUUGGGAGCAUUUAUAAAGAAUGCACAGCUGAGGAGCUCCCAUCGUGGUACAGUGGAAACAGAAUCCAACCAGGAACCAUGAGAUUGCGGGUUCGAUUCCUGGCCUUGCUCAGUGUAGAUCGAAGACACAGCUUGGAUCUAGCAUUGCUGUGGCUCUGGAGUAGGCCAACAACUACAGCUCCAAUUAGACCCCUAGCCUGGGAACCUCCAUAUGCUGCAGGUGUGGCCCUGAAAAGACCAAAUAAAUAAAUAAAUAAAUAACCUAGACGUCCACCUAAAGACGAGUGGAUAAAGAACAUGUAGCACAUAUAUUCAAUGGAAUACUACUGAGCAAAAAAAAGAAAAAAAGAAAAGAAAUAGGAAGUUCCCAUGGCAGUUCAGUGGUAAUUAGCCCAACUAGUACCCAUGAGGAUGUGGGUUCAAUCUCUGGCCUCACUCGGUGGAUUAAGGCAUUGUCCUGAGCUGUGGUGUAGGUUGAAGACACUGCUUGGAUCCUGUGUUGCAGUGGCUGUGAUAUAGGCUGGAAGCUGUAGCUCCGAUUUGACCCCUAGCCUGGGAAUUUCCAUAUGCCACAG